AAGAAAAGGAAAAGAAGAAAAAGGAGAUGAAGUAAAAAGAAAAAAGGAUUGGAGUAAAAAGAGAAAAAUAGAAUUAAAUUGUGUGAAGAGUUAAAGAGAGAGAAAUGGCGGGGAUUGCGGAAGCGGUUGCGGGCACGAGCGCGGCAGUCUUCCGACCGGCACGCGGCAUGAUGCGUAGAGAGGAAAAGGAAAAGAAUGGACGGUGGUCGGCUUUAAUGCUGGGACGGUGGAAUUGCCGGGAAGACGGGAUUUG
rnacentral:lncRNA from 1 species